UACGUAGGGAGCAAGCGUUGUCCGGAAUCAUUGGGCGUAAAGCGCACGUAGGCGGCCCUGUAAGUCCGUUGUGAAAGUCAAAGGCUCAACCUUUGAAAGCCGAUGAAUACUGCAGGGCUAGAGUCCGGAAGAGGCGAGUGGAAUUCCUGGUGUAGCGGUGGAAUGCGCAGAUAUCAGGAGGAACACCAAUAGCGAAGGCAGCUCGCUGGGACGGUACUGACGCUAAGGUGCGAAAGCGUGGGGAGCGAACAGG
rnacentral:rRNA from 1 species